GCUGUGGAAUUUUUUACGUGUUAAGUUAUAUAUUGAAAGUUUUUUUAAUUCUGUCUGUUAAUAUCAAGUAUUUAACGAAUGAUAAACUGAUUUCUAUUCCGCUAUAAAAAGCUUCUUAACAACAGAAACCAGUAAAAUUCCGUGUGUCAGUUCCGUAAUCACUUACAAUAAAUAUAGACGACAAGGGCAAGGCUGUACUUGAGAGGCUAUGUUAUACUUUAAUAUGAAGAAAAACACUUUAUAAUUUACUUUCUAUAAUGAAACUGUAUUAUUAUCAACC
rnacentral:lncRNA from 1 species